GACGAACGCUGGCGGCGUGCUUAACACAUGCAAGUCGAACGGAAAGGCCCUGCUUUUGUGGGGUGCUCGAGUGGCGAACGGGUGAGUAACACGUGAGUAACCUGCCCUUGACUUUGGGAUAACUUCAGGAAACUGGGGCUAAUACCGGAUAGGAGCUCCUGCUGCAUGGUGGGGGUUGGAAAGUUUCGGCGGUUGGGGAUGGACUCGCGGCUUAUCAGCUUGUUGGUGGGGUAGUGGCUUACCAAGGCUUUGACGGGUAGCCGGCCUGAGAGGGUGACCGGGCACCAUGGGACUGAGAGACGGACCAGACUCCUACGGGAGGCAGCAGUGGGGAAUAUUGCACAAUGGGCGGAAGCGUGAUGCAGCAGCGCCGCGUGCGGGAUGACGGCCUUCGGGGUGUAAACCGCUUUCGCCUGUGACGAAGCGUGAGUGACGGUAAUGGGUAAAGAAGCACCGGCUAACUACGUG
rnacentral:rRNA from 1 species